CUGGCCUAGAGUGUCGAAUAUUUAGAUAUUUCCUACUAAUUUUGAAUUAUCUUGCUCAUAUUUGCCUGUAUCUAGAUCAGAGGUCCCCAAACUUUUUUCCCCCGUUAAUCACCGCUUGCUAAUUUGCUCCAUUUUUCGUAGACCCUUUCCCUGAUAGCAUUUAUGACCCCUAUUUACAUCUUAUGCACGCCUAAUUUUUUUUCAAUGAAAUUGUCCCCUUGCAGGUCAGAAUGAACCCCUAUAGACCCCCCUGGCAAUUUUUGAUAAAUAAUCGAUAAAUAAUUUU